GACGAACGCUGGCGGCGUGCUUAACACAUGCAAGUCGAACGGAAAGGCCCUGCCUUUGUGGGGUGCUCGAGUGGCGAACGGGUGAGUAACACGUGAGUAACCUGCCCUUGACUUUGGGAUAACUUCAGGAAACUGGGGCUAAUACCGGAUAGGAGCUCCUGCUGCAUGGUGGGGGUUGGAAAGUUUCGGCGGUUGGGGAUGGACUCGCGGCUUAUCAGCUUGUUGGUGGGGUAGUGGCUUACCAAGGCUUUGACGGGUAGCCGGCCUGUGAGGGUGACCGGCCACAUUGGGACUGAGAUACGGCCCAGACUCCUACGGGAGGCAGCAGUGGGGAAUAUUGCACAAUGGGCGGAAGCCUGAUGCAGCAACGCCGCGUGCGGGAUGACGGCCUUCGGGUUGUAAACCGCUUUCGCCUGUGACGAAGCGUGAGUGACGGUAAUGGGUAAAGAAGCACCGGCUAACUACGUG
rnacentral:rRNA from 1 species